rnacentral:misc_RNA from 1 species
UCGUAUAACCGAGGUGCUGGGGCUGUCGCUAACUUUGUGCAUGCCUCGGUGCUCUCUCACAAAUCCAUCUCACCCCCUUUUGUGAAUCACCGCGUGGGUGCUCUCCUUUCGGUUCAUUCUGAAAGGGGGCAUUUGCGCUUUUACACAGACCCUCCACAUGUGUAGAAUGUCUUGCUAUUUGCGAUGAUACGCAAUCAAUA